ACAUCAGCUGUCUGGCAGCCUCAGCAAAGGGUCCUCCAGCAUACAGACUACAGGCUGUUAAGGAAAGGAAAAGAAAAAACCAAAGCAACAGCCUUUUCUCUUACAUUCGGAUAUCUUUAGGCCCGAAAACAUGAGGGAUUCACAUCACUGCACGGCACUGAGCUGCAGAUGUGGCCAAUAUUCCGCUUGAGAUCUGACCUGUAACUAAGCCCAAUGCUAAGGCGUUGUUCAAAGCCAUCCAGAGAGGUCCAGCUUGCAGACUUCAGUGCUCCCACAGCAAUGUUUUGGAGGAUAUAAGGAACCUCCAUCAGUGGCCAACCACGUAAUGAAGCUGCCACAUCUCUAUGGGCUGUGGCCAGUAUUGCUCCUGGAGUGGACCAGAGCUGCUUCUUAGAUGUUAUUCCUGUUUUCAGCAUCCAGGAGAGGACAGUGCUGGAAUGAAGCUUGUUUUGCCAGGGGAGGUGCAGAAUGAAUAUUAGGAAACAUUUCUUCUCAGAAGGAGUGGUGCUGCAGUGUUCACAGACUGCCCAGGGAGUGGUGGGGUCACCAUCCUUGGAGGUGUCCAAGAACCAUGGAGAUGUGGCACUGAGACAGAUGUAACUGAGAAAACAACAGUGACACUCCAGCAUCCCCUGUGCUCUGGUGCCCACGACCUGCAGUCAGCAUUGUAGGGUCCUGGGGAGGGCUCUGGGUGAGAACCCCUAUGUGCCUACCGCAUGGAUGCCAAAGGACAGGAUGGUGAGUUCCCUAUUAGGGAAGUAAGGAAGAAAAACAGCUGCCUGGCCAAGGAUGGAGAACAGCAAUAAAGCAAACUGUUGUAUAGAAAAAGAAUUAAUGUUUGAUGAAAUGGUAUCCUUUCAGGCUUCCUGUUUGUUCCGUGUCCCAUUUUCAGCUGGUAGUCAUACAGUACAUGAAAGCAGAAGUCCAUGUAAUGUUUUUGCUCUGGGACUGAGACGUGUUUUGUGAGGUGUCUGAUGCUGCCUUUACAUGGUGCUUUCAGAAACUAAAAAAGGAAACUGCUGUAUGGUAAGCACAGAGCUGGUCUGAGUAUUUAGGACGUUGUGGAUGCCCCAUCCCUGGAGGCAUUCAAGGCCAGGCUGGAUGUGGCUCUGGGCAGCCUGGUCUGCUGGUUGGCAACCCUGCACAUAGCAGGGGGUUGGAACUGGAUGAUCAUUGUGGUCCUUUGCAACCCAGGCCAUUCUAUGAUUCUGUAAUUUAUCAGUGUCUUGCUGUCAAGCUCAGAGGACGUUUCAAAGGAAUUCCCCCGGGAGUUAGUCCUGGUUCAGUUCUAUUCAAUACUUAAGAACUUGCACGAUGGAAUAAAGAGCUCACCUAUCCCACAUGUGGAUGGCAGCUGUGAAGGACUGCAAACACUUCAAAGUCAGAGUUGAAAUUCUGAACUGAAGAAAUGGUCCCAGAGUCACAGUGAAGCAGUCCAGCCAAGGCAAGUUAGGCUGACCAUUGUGGUUAGCAAGAGAGAUGUUGCAGGAUACACACAGAGAUCAGUGCGAUUGUUGGUGGAAGAGCCAUAUGCAGGGAGUUGGGAAAGGAUCCCAAGGGAUCAGGAAGAGCUCUCCCCUUCCCAAAAGCAGGGUUAAUCUGGAGAUUAAAGACCACUCAUUAAUACAGACUGCCUCCAUACAAUUACUUCUUUUCUCCCCUUAGUUAAACUCACUGCAUAGGAAUCUAACAAAAUCAGAAAUGACUUCCUCAUUUGUGGUUUCUCUUCUUCUAGCCACCCAAUGGCCAGAGAUGACCCAGGUGGAAAACCUCGGUCCUAAGGCACAUCCCUGUGGUGUGAGUGUCCCAGGUACGCUGGGAGCUUUCUCCCUGUGAGCCCACACGUCCCACAGCCUCUUCUGUUCUCCUCUCAGAAUGUGGUUUUUCAGGUCUUCAGUGCUAGUUUUGGUUGCUGGACCACAGACUAAGGUAUGUCUGUGCCAGGACGUGCACACAGAUCUUCUUUGCUUGGAGGGGUGGAUGUGCAUAUCUUGUUGUGCCAUUUUGCUGGGUUUUUUUUUUCUCCUCCUUCCACAUCUCUUAAUUAAAUCAUAAAUUUACAUAAAAAAAGUCUUACAGUCCAAGGCAUAAUCACCUCACUGCACUGAACAAGUCACAGCCUACACUUAGAUUAUUACAUAGCUACUCUAUAUUAAAUUAUAUUCAUGGCUAUUAAAGGUGAAAGAAAAAGGAGCAUUGAGAACACGUGGCUGCUGCAGGAUGGCAAUAGCCUUCCAGAAGGCAUUACAAGAUCCACAAGGUCGUUUGAAUUCACCAUGCCUAAUUAAGUUGUUCUCAGUGUUAACAGCUGAAAAGACAUUCAAAGUAGUUUAUGUAUCAGCUUUGUUAAGUAGAGUAUUAGCUGCAUGGGAGUAAAGGCAAAUAAUGUGCAAGGGAAAAUUCCUCAGUCUUAAACAAUCAGAACAAGGUCUAAAGAAAAGCUCAUUAUAAUGACUUCUCUUUAUGCUAGUUAACAGAUUUCCUGCAGGGAAAAAAACACUUUUCCAUGCCACCGUAGGGGGCCCAGCAAAACCCAAACAACUUUUGCCCUACUACAUCUUUGAAGAGCACAGAGAAGGGGCUUGUGCUGUUCUUCCUGACCCUCAUUACAGCCUGCGAGUCUGCAUAGAAAAACAGACCAAUGGUGGGGGAAAAGAGCAAAAUGCAGGAUUUUAGUGUUGGCUGUACGAACACACACAGCACCAUUUCCAUCACCGCAUCCUCCGUCCUUUGAAUGCACCACUAUACUUUGAAAAAACGUAUAGGGAGCUCCAAAACAAGACUGUUCAGCGAUGAAGGGGCCAAGCUGUACAUCUGAUGCACUACAUGAACACCCAUCAAGAUUAACUCCUUUCAGAUGCUCUGCUCCUGACGCUGUGCUCAUUAACACUGCACCUGUACAGCCCAGCACCCUGGUUUCCAUCCAGGUGACCUCCAUAAAUGUAUUCAGCGAGCUGCAAUUACAAUUCACUGAGUCAGUCUGCCCUAAACCAAGACACAGAGAACAUCUUGGUAGACAGUAUUGGGACAUUCAGCUUGAAAAUGCCAACACUGUGUAAGUUUGCUUUGCUUUACACUAUGUGUAGGGUAGGAAAUUAGAUGUGUCUCUGUCAGCUUGCCUACACUAUUUCCUAUCUUAAUAUGAGUCACUGUAACAAAGGGGGAAAAAGUGUGGCAAAGAAGCCCAAAUCCAAUUGCUCAUUGAAGUUAGUGUGUAUUAUGACUAAUGUAAGUAAUCAAUUUGAGCUGUCCAUUUGAGAAGAGUUUAUUAAAUAAAUGGAAAAGAGAGG
ensembl:lncRNA